rnacentral:rRNA from 1 species
GAACGCUGGCGGCAGGCUUCAUACAUGCAAGUCGAGCGCGAACGUCCCUUCGGGAGUGUAUAAAGCGGCGAACGGGUGAGUAACAGGUGGGUAAUCUGCCUCUUGGCGGGGGACAACAGUUGGAAACGGCUGCUAAUACCCCAUGUGAUCGCUUGGUCACAAGGCAUUGCAAGGAAAGGCGCUUUCAAGCGUCGCCGAAAGAUGAGUCCGCCCCCCAUUAGCUAGUUGGUGAGAUAAAAGCUCACCAAGGCAACGAUGGGUAGCCGAACUGAGAGGUUGAUCGGUCACACUGGAACUGAGACACGGUCCAGACACCUACGGGUGGCAGCAGUAGGGAAUAUUGCGCAAUGGGCGAAAGCCAGACGCAGCCAUGCCGCGUGAAGGAUGAAGGCCUUCGGGUCGUAAACUUCUUUUCUGAGGGAAGAACAUCCCGGGUAGGAAAUGCCCCGGGCCUGACGGUACCUCAGGAAUAAGCAACGGCUAACUCCGUGCCAGCAGCCGCGGUAAUACGGAGGUUGCAAGCGUUGUUCGGAAUUACUGGGCGUAAAGGGAGCGCAGGCGGCUUGAUCAGUCUGAAGUGGAAUCCCGGGGCUCAACCCCGGAAUGGCUUUGGAUACUGCUAGGCUUGAGUGCGUGAGAGGAGAGUGGAAUUCCUGGUGUAGCGGUGAAAUGCGUAGAUAUCAGGAGUAACACCAAUGGCGAAAGCAACUCUCUGGCACGUUACUGACGCUGAGGCCCGAAAGCGUGGGGAGCGAACAGGAUUAGAUACCCUGGUAGUCCACGCCGUAAACGUUGUGCACUAGGUGCAGGAGGUGUCGACCCCUUCUGUGCCGCAGCUAACGCAUUAAGUGCACCGCCUGGGGAGUACGAUCGCAAGAUUGAAACUCAAAGGAAUUGACGGGGGCCCGCACAAGCGGUGGAGCAUGUGGUUUAAUUCGAGGCAACGCGAAGAACCUUACCCAGGCUUGACAUCCCGUGACAACCAUGGAAACAUGGCUUUCUCUUCGGAGACACGGUGACAGGUGUUGCAUGGCUGUCGUCAGCUCGUGUCGUGAGAUGUUGGGUUAAGUCCCGCAACGAGCGCAACCCCCGUCCUUAGUUACCAGCACGUUAUGGUGGGCACUCUAGGGAGACUGCCGGUGAUAAGCCGGAGGAAGGUGGGGACGACGUCAAGUCAUCAUGGCCCUUAUGUCUGGGGCUACACACGUGCUACAAUGGCCGGUACAAUGAGCUGCGAAACCGCAAGGUCAAGCGAAUCUCAAAAAGCCGGUCUCAGUUCGGAUAGGAGUCUGCAAUUCGACUCCUUGAAGUCGGAAUCGCUAGUAAUCGCGUAUCAGCUACGACGCGGUGAAUACGUUCCCGGGCCUUGUACACACCGCCCGUCACAUGACCCGAGUCGGGUGCACCCGAAGUCACUGACCCAACCCUCUGGGAGGGAGGUGCCUAAGGUGUGGCUGGUGAGGGGGAUGAAGUCGUAACAAGGUAGCC